rnacentral:rRNA from 1 species
UACGUAGGGGGCUAGCGUUGACCGGAUUUAUUGGGCGUAAAGAGCGUGUAGGCGGCCAGGUAGGUCUGCUGUGAAAACUCGAGGCUUAACCUCGAGAUGUCGGCGGAAACCAUCUGGCUAGAGUCCGGAAGAGGAGAGUGGAAUUCCUGGUGUAGCGGUGAAAUGCGCAGAUAUCAGGAAGAACACCCGUGGCGAAGGCGGCUCUCUGGGACGGUACUGACGCUGAGACGCGAAAGCGUGGGGAGCGAACAGG